UACGGGGGGGGCAAGCGUUGUUCGGAAUUACUGGGCGUAAAGGGCUCGUAGGCGGCCAACUAAGUCAGACGUGAAAUCCCUCGGCUUAACCGGGGAACUGCAUCUGAUACUGGAUGGCUUGAGUUCGGGAGAGGGAUGCGGAAUUCCAGGUGUAGCGGUGAAAUGCGCAGAUAUCAGGAGGAACACCGAUGGCGAAGGCAGUGAUCUGGGCCGGUACUGACGCUGAGGAGCGAAAGCGUGGGUAGCAAACAGG
rnacentral:rRNA from 1 species